rnacentral:misc_RNA from 1 species
AGAGAGAGAGAGAGAGAGAAUGGGUUAUAAUUGGGGGGGAAAAAAGCUGUAAAUUCAAGAAUUUUUUUUUUGGUAAUAUAGCCAUUAAAAAGUUCAAAGUAUGCUAAAUUUUGUAUUCAGCUUGCAUUAACAAGGGAGAUAGGCCAAAGAUAGCAGGUAGAGAUGUGUUUAACCAAAUUCUGACCAACCAUAUAGCAACAUGUAAAAAUGUACCUAUUAACUUCAACAACCAUAAGGAAGGUUCCAUCAUAACUCACCUAUCUUGCAUUGCUUUAGAUG